AGCAGGUGUAUUAUUAUAUUGGAGCAGGUGUAUUAUUAUAGAGGAGCAGGUGUAUUAUUAUAGAGGAACAGGUGUAUUAUUAUAUUGGAGCAGGUAUAUUAUAGAAGAACAGGUGUAUUAUUAUAGAGGAGCAGGUAUAUUAUAGAAGAACAGGUGUAUUAUUAUAGAGGAGCAGGUGUAUUAUUAUAU